AAACCUUACACACUUUGUUUUUAUUAUUAAAGACACCAUUGCUUUGGUGGAUGGGGGUAAAAGCUCGUCUGCCAGAGGUUUAACCAAAACUCUAACUUAAAAACUUGAUUUUUUAAAUUGUCAUUUUUGAAAUUUGUCUGAUUAACUUCGGAUGAAACAAAUAUUCAAAACUUUCAACAACGGAUCUCUUGGUUCUCGCAUCGAUGAAGAACGCAGCGAAUUGCGAUAAGUAUUGUGAAUUGCAGAAUUUCGUGAAUCAUCGAAUCUUUGAACGCACAUUGCACCCUGUGGUAUUCCACAGGGUAUGCCUGUUUGAGCGUCAUUUCUCUCUCAAAACGCAAGUUUUGGUGUUGAGUGAUACUCGGGUUAAAUGGCUUGAGUUUGCUUGAAAAGUAUUGGCAAGGGAAGUGAGACUUCACUACAGCUGUUUAUUCAAUGUAUUAGGUUUAUCCAACUCGUUGAUUGACAGGUGGAAUGAGAUUUUGCUAAUAGGCCCGGCCUUACAACAAACAAACCAAAGUUUGACCUCAAAUCAGGUAGGAUUACCCGCUGAACUUAAGCAUAUCAAUAAGCGGAGGAAAAGAAACCAACAGGGAUUGCCUUAGUAACGGCGAGUGAAGCGGCAAGAGCUCAAAUUUGAAAUCUAGCACUUUCAGUGUUCGAGUUGUAAUUUGAAGAAGGUAUCUUUGGAGUUGGCCCCUGUCUAUGUUCCUUGGAACAGGACGUCACAGAGGGUGAGAAUCCCGUGCGAUGGGGAGACCAAUUCUUUGUAAAGUUCCUUCGAAGAGUCGAGUUGUUUGGGAAUGCAGCUCUAAGUGGGUGGUAAAUUCCAUCUAAAGCUAAAUAUUGGCGAGAGACCGAUAGCGAACAAGUACAGUGAUGGAAAGAUGAAAAGAACUUUGAAAAGAGAGUGAAAAAGUACGUGAAAUUGUUGAAAGGGAAGGGCUUUUGAUCAGACUUGGUGUUUAACGAUCUCUUCUCCUUGUGGGAGGGGCUCUUGUUUUAUACUGGGCCAGCAUCGGUUUGGAUGGCAGGAUAAUGACAUUGGAACGUGGCUUCAUUCGUGAAGUGUUAUAGCCUUUGUUGAUACUGCCUAUCUAGACCGAGGACUGC
rnacentral:sRNA from 2 species